GGCCAAGUGGUAAGGC
rnacentral:tRNA from 1 species